ensembl:lncRNA
GCUGCAGAGUGACCCACAGGGUUCUGCCGAUGUGAGAUGGAAUGAUAACCACAAUGGUCCUUCCUAAGGGUGUGGGGAGCAUCCAUUAAGUCAGCCUUGGAUGUCCUCUGAGCUGUCUCCACCAGGACCCAGAUAAAGGCGGCUGAGGGCUGAGGAUGGAGCUCGAUUGUUAAGGUGUUUGCUUGGCAGGAACACAGCCCUGCAUGGAGUGGGCAUGGCAGCUCAAUUUUGUAAUCCCAGGACGUGGGAAGUGGAUGCAGGAAGAUCAGGGGUUCAAGGCUCUUCUCAGCUGGUAAAUUGAAGGCCAGCCUGGGCUACGUACGUGAGACCCUCUUUCAAAACAACAACAAUAUCCAGCAGUGUUUGGAUGACUUGGGAGUCCAAGCACUCAUCUGGUCCUAGGCUCCUGCAUUUGAACACUUGCUCCCCAGAAGACGGCAUUGUACCAGGGGUCUGUGGACUGUUUAAGAGGUGGAACCUAGCUGGAGGAAGCGAGGCACCAGAAGAAUGGGAUUUAAAAGUUAUAACUUGGUCCUGCUUCCUGGUUUCCUGAGAUAUAUUCAAGGAGCCCCACCUACCACCUGCUGCCACUGCAGAAAGAUCCACCACCAUGGAACUUGGAAUUAAAUUAGACCUUUC